rnacentral:rRNA from 1 species
AUUGAACGCUGGCGGAAUGCUUUACACAUGCAACGUCGAACGGUAGAGGGGGCAACCCCUUGAGAGUGGCGAACGGGUGAGUAAUAUAUCGGAACGUGCCCAGUCGUGGGGAUAACGUAGCGAAAGUUACGCUAAUACCGCAUACGAUCUAAGGAUGAAAGCGGGGGAUCGCAAGACCUCGCGCGAUUGGAGCGGCCGAUAUCAGAUUAGGUAGUUGGUGAGGUAAAGGCUCACCAAGCCAACGAUCUGUAGCUGGUCUGAGAGGACGACCAGCCACACUGGAACUGAGACACGGUCCAGACUCCUACGGGAGGCAGCAGUGGGGAAUUUUGGACAAUGGACGCAAGUCUGAUCCAGCCAUUCCGCGUGCAGGAUGAAGGCCCUC